rfam:Erysiphe necator strain c c-strain-scaffold_14703, whole genome shotgun sequence.
CGUAUCUCAAUCAGGUGAGAAUACCCGCUGAACUUAAACAUAUCAAUAAGCGGAGGAAAAGAAAACAAAAGUGAUAUCCUUAGUAAUGGCGAACGAAAAGGAUAAAGCCCAACGCAAAGGUUCAUUUGAAUGUCUUUUCAAAUGAACGAUGCUGCGUGUGAACUAGAUGCUUGAGUUUAAAGUGUUUACUGGCAUGUAUUCAAACGAACGAUCUAAUAGUUGACCAUAGAGGGUUAAAGUCCCGUAUGAAUAUUCUAAGUUCCAGUAAUGCACUAGUACGAAGGCUUUAGUUUGAGAGUAGGGUUGCUUGAGAGUGCAGCUUGAAGUAGGAGGUAUGCAUCUCCUAAGGCUAAAUAUCACUGCGAGACCGAUAGCAAACAAGUAGUGUGAACGAAAGUUGAAAAGAACUUUGAAGAGAGAGUUCAAAGAGCGUGAAACCACUAGUAGGGAAGCGGAGAUUAUCACGAAGUGGCGUUUCAUUUAUGUGAUGCAUAAGUGAUUGUAAGUUAUUAGAUUAUGAUUGAAAUUUAGUUCGCUAAAUGUAGACAUAAUUUAAUUUUUAACAUUCAAUUUGUGUAUUACAAAACAUAAAUGUUGCCAGUAUCAGAUCUUCUUCUAAAACUGCAUAGUACUGUUGAUCGCUUAAUCUUAUUCACUGGGGGAAUCUGGUUAAGAUCGAUAGGUUUAGGUUAUUUAAUGAUUCUGCAAUUUAAUACGCUAGCUACGGUUGGUGGUUAAUUGUAGAUUAAACCUCUAUGUUUAAGUAAAAGGAGAAUAAGAUAGGAUAUGAGUAGAUCGAUAAAUCUCUGCCCCGUCUUGAAACACGGACCAAGGAGCCUAGCGUGUACGCAAGUCUCUUAGACUUAAUUAAAAUAAGCUAGGUGGCAUAACGAAAGCAAUCAAUACUAUUCUUUACAAGUUUAGUAUAGUUAUGAUGAUUAGUACACAAAAUUACUAAUUAGCAAUAACGAUGCGAUUUUUUCAAGUCGUAUUAGAGCGUACACGGUAGUACCCGAAAGAUGGUGAUCUAUGCUUGAGCAAGGUGAAGCCAAAGGAAACUUUGGUGGAGGCCUGCAGCAGUUUUGACGUGCAAAUCGAUUGUCAGACUUGAGUAUAGCGGCGAAAGACUAAUCGAACCAUCUAGUAGCUGGUUUCCUCCGAAAUUUCCCGCAGGAUAGCAAGCGUUAUUUACAGUCAUUUAAACCUGUUACAGUCUCAAUAGAAGGUAACGGGGCGUUAAUUGACCUUGUCCUUUUCUUAAACUCGGUCAAUGGGUUUUUAGAUAUAAUAUACAUAUUAAUCAUAUGUAUAUCUAAUUUAUGUUUAAUGGCAACGCUUAGUGGGCCAUUUUUGGUAAGCAGAACUGGCGAUGCGGGAUGAACCGUACACAGAGUUAAAGUGCCUAAGUUUGAUUUUAAUCAACUAUACGCUAAUCAGAUCCCACUAAAGAUGUUGUUCGCUUAAGACAGUAGGGCGGUGGCCAUGGAAGUCGGCAUCCGCUAAGGAGUGUGUAACAACUCACCUACCGAAGCGUUCAACUCUGAAAAUGGAUGGCGCUCAAGCGUUACACUGAUACUCUGUCGUAGUAGUAAUUCCACAAGUAAAUACACAUACACAAUAUGUGUAUUAUUAAACUUCUACGAGUAGGAGAGAAUGUGAUGAUAGCGUUGAAGUUUUGAACGUAAGUUCGAAUGGAGCUUUCAUUAGUACAGAUCUUGGUGGUAGUAGCAAACAAACAAGUGACAACCUUGUUGACCGACGUGGAUACGGGUUCCAUGGGAACAGUAAUUGGCCAUGGGUUAGUCGAUCCUGAAGAGUGACGUGAAAACGUUUUCGUAAGAAUUCAAUCUUAAUCGAUUGUACUCUGAAAGGGAAUAAGAUUAAUAUUUCUUAACCUUGAUUGUGCUCAGUUUAAAGCGGUAACGCAAUCGAACUCAGAGACAUCAGCCAAAGUCCUGGGUAGAGAUAUCUUCUCUAUUCUAAGGUUUACUUAAUAGUGCCUUGAAUCAGUUUAGCUGGAGACAGGCAUAAAAGUACCGAAUAGCAUUGCGCUUCAAGUAAUGUACAAAUUUAACAAACAGUGUACUUUGGUUGAUCCUUGAAAAUCUGGGGGAGUAUUUUUAAGGCACAACAAGAUCGUACCUAGAUCCGCAACAGGUAUCCUAGGUGAACAGCCUCUGGUCUAUUAGAAGAAUGUAGGUAAGGGAAGUCGGCAAAAAUGAUCUGUAUCUUUGGUACAAAGGUUGGCUCUGGCGUGUUUGUCAAUUCGUGCUUAAAUAAGUAUAUUGGAAUACGCUUUACUUGAACUGAUUUGAAUAGCAAUAUUUAAUUGGCGCUUGUUUAGUAAUUCUAAUAGAACAUUUUUGUGUGAUUGACAAUUAAAACAAUUAGUCAGAACUAUCAUUGACUAUUCGGAAUCUGACUGUUUAAUUAAAACAUAGCAUUGAGAUGACCGGUGACCCGGUGUUGACUCAAUGUGAAUUCUGCCCAGUGCUCUGAAUGUCAACGUGUAGAAAUUCAAUGAAGCGCGGGUAAACGGCGGGAGUAACUAUGACUCUCUUAAGGUAGCCAAAUGCCUCGUCAUCU